UGGGGAAUAUUGCACAAUGGGCGCAAGCCUGAUGCAGCCAUGCCGCGUGUAUGAAGAAGGCCUUCGGGUUGUAAAGUACUUUCAGCGGGGAGGAAGGGAGUAAAGUUAAUACCUUUGCUCAUUGACGUUACCCGCAGAAGAAGCACCGGCUAACUCCGUGCCAGCAGCCGCGGUAAUACGGAGGGUGCAAGCGUUAAUCGGAAUUACUGGGCGUAAAGCGCACGCAGGCGGUUUGUUAAGUCAGAUGUGAAAUCCCCGGGCUCAACCUGGGAACUGCAUCUGAUACUGGCAAGCUUGAGUCUCGUAGAGGGGGGUAGAAUUCCAGGUGUAGCGGUGAAAUGCGUAGAGAUCUGGAGGAAUACCGGUGGCGAAGGCGGCCCCCUGGACGAAGACUGACGCUGAGGAGCGAAAGCGUGGGGAGCGAACAGG
rnacentral:rRNA from 1 species